UACAGAGGUCUCAAGCGUUGUUCGGAUUCAUUGGGCGUAAAGGGUGUGUAGGUGGCGCGCUAAGUCGGGUGUGAAAUUUCGGAGCUUAACUCCGAAACUGCAUUCGAUACUGGCGUGCUUGAGGACUGGAGAGGAGACUGGAAUUCAUGGUGUAGCAGUGAAAUGCGUAGAGAUCAUGAGGAAGACCAGUGGCGAAGGCGGGUCUCUGGACAGUUCCUGACUGAGACGAAGGCCAGGGGAGCAAACGGG
rnacentral:rRNA from 1 species